UCUUCCAGAACAAGAGAUGCGAGCCUUGAUAUCUCUUACGCAUUUAACGAUAGACGAAUGUGAUACACAGAGGUGUUUGCCUGAAGGGUGGUUGCGACACCUCACUUCUCUGGAGGAACUAGUAAUAUGGAGGUGCCGAGAACUAGUAGAGCUGCCGGAGGAGGGGAUUAAACACCUCCACAGCCUGAAAAGAGUAUCCCUAAUUUAUCUUCCAAAGAUGGUUUGUGUUCCUAAAGCAUUAAGCCACCUUUCAUCCUCACUCCAAUCUCUAAUCCUAUCCAGCCUUCCAGAGCUGAGUUCGCUGCCGGAGUGGUUGGGAGAUAUGACAUCUCUUCAAUCUCUCAAUAUUUAUGAGUGCCGAAAGGUAGCAUCACUUCCAGCUAGUAUCCAGGGAAUGACAAAGCUCCAAUAUCUGGAAGUGCUUGCAUGCCCGGAACUGGAAAGGAGAUGUGAGAGAGAAAAGGGAGAGGACUGGCACAAGAUAUCACAUAUUCCCCACCUGCAAAUUGGUUAAUGGAUUUUCCUAAUUGGCAGCACGCCAUAUUCGAUUCGAUUCGCUGCAUGCCUGAUGAUUACAAGAAAACAUCUUCAACUAAUACAUAUUUGUGCCAUUCUUUUCGUUUUGCCCGAGCUGUGAUGAUGUAUCAAUGCAAAGUGAACUUAAUGUUAAUUUGGUAUUUUGAUUUAAUUUGUUUGAAAACAUGUGUUUUAUUCCGCAAGUGAAGUUUAUGCCUGUAACAUGUCAUAAACAAAUGAUAAUAUAUGGUUUGAAAACCCCA